UGCCAGCAGCCGCGGUAAUACGAAGGGGGCGAGCGUUGUUCGGAAUUACUGGGCGUAAAGGGCGCGUAGGCGGUUUAUUAAGCAAGAUGUGAAAGCCCAGGGCUCAACCUUGGAACUGCAUUUUGAACUGGUAGACUAGAGUACUGUAGAGGGUGGUGGAAUUUCCAGUGUAGCGGUGAAAUGCGUAGAGAUUGGAAGGAACAUCAGUGGCGAAGGCGGCCACCUGGACAGAUACUGACGCUGAGGAACGAAAGCGUGGGGAGCGAACAGGAUUAGAUA
rnacentral:rRNA from 1 species